AGCGAACGCUGGCGGCAGGCCUAACACAUGCAAGUCGAAUGAUCCUUCGGGAUAGUGGCGGACGGGUGAGUAACACGUGGGAACGUACCUUUAGGUUCGGGAUAACUCAGGGAAACUUGAGCUAAUACCGGAUAAGCCCUUUUGGGGAAAGAUUUAUCGCCUUUAGAGUGGCCCGCGUUAGAUUAGCUAGUUGGUGAGGUAAAGGCUCACCAAGGCUCCGAUCUAUAGCUGGUCUGAGAGGAUGAUCAGCCACACUGGGACUGAGACACGGCCCAGACUCCUACGGGAGGCAGCAGUGGGGAAUCUUGCGCAAUGGGCGAAAGCCUGACGCAGCCAUGCCGCGUGAAUGAUGAAGGUCUUAGGAUUGUAAAAUUCUUUUAGCAGGGACGAUAAUGACGGUACCUGCAGAAAAAGCCCCGGCUAACUUCGUGCCAGCCGCCGCCGUAA
rnacentral:rRNA from 1 species